rnacentral:rRNA from 1 species
AAGCUAGUCGUAUCAGAAUAGUUAUAUCUGGUACAUAUCGGUUUACCCGAAUAAAAUUCUAAACAAAAAUAUGAUAAUGACAUUUUUUGUUUAUAUGUCUUGACCAAGUUACGUGCCAGCAGUCGCGGUAAUACGUAAGAGACUAGUGUUAUUCAUCUUUAUUAGGUUUAAAGGGUACCUAGACGGUAAAUCAAGCCUAGACAGGAACUAAUUUACUAGAGUUAUAUAUGAGAGAGCUUUAAGGUACUAAUAGUGGAGAGAUAAAAUUCUUUGAUACUUUUAUUCGAAAGAAUAGUAUAGGCACGGAUUAAGGCGUAGGCAUCUCUUUAUGUGUUAACUGACGUUGAGGGACGAAGGCGUCAUUAAACCAAAAGGAUUAGAUACCCUAGUAGUUGAUAGCAGAAAAUGAUGAGUGUCAUGGAUUAGAUCUUUUUAGUUCAUAAAUUAUAGUGUAAGCACUCCACCUCAAGAGUAAUUUGGCAACAUUGGAACUGAAAUCAUUAGACCGUUUCUGAAACCAGUAGUGAAGUAUGUUGUUUAAUUUGAUAAUCCACAAAGAACCUUACCAUAACAACCUAGAGUUUCCGUCCUGUGUUUAUUUUUUUUUACUAAGGAUGAUGUACUUGGAUGAUUAUAAUAUAAUAUAAUUACAAGCGUUGCACGGCUGUCUUCAGUUAAUGUCGUGAGAUUUUGGUUAGUUCCAUAGAAUUUACGAAAA